rnacentral:lncRNA from 1 species
AAUGAAAAUACUUAGCUCUCCCCUGAUUGUGAAGAUUUAAUUGUAAUCCCUAUCUAUUUUUAGAACACGGUACUUAAAAGUUAAGUAUGAAGAUCUGCCCAUUUAGAUCUAAUCACCAAAAGUGCAAAUAUCCCACUUGAUCAUGAAGUGGGAGGUCUGUGACCCACAUGUGUGAUAGUGGAUGAUGAAUCAGAAUCAACUGACUGCCUUCUGUGCAGUCCUAAAACAAAGUGUCAACUGUGAUUGGUAGACGUAAAAUUAGGGGAAGACACAGGAAGUAAUGCAAAAGAAGUGUCUUGAAAAUGAGCUGUUACUUCCUGUGAGAAUUCAAUUCUUGAUGCUUUCGAGUUGAGGCUGGUGAAGCGGGCAGAAGGAUCUACUGACUGGACUGACACCUGACAGCAAUAUAUAAUCAUUAAACCCCUGGAAACUGAAAAAGGAUCACCAAAAGGAUCAUUAUGGAGAAGGAGGAGAAAAAAGCUCAAGACAGGACUUUUGGAAGAAAAUAACCACCCAACCAGAUGCAGGACAUGGAUGAUGUUCAGCAAGAGACUGCAGAGUGGUCAUGGCAGAUAGAUAAGAAAAGAGAUCAAAGAAACAAAGGACCAAUGAUGUACAAAAAUAUAUGACAGUUCUUUUUAUAGUGGUGAAAAACUAGAAACAAAGGGUGAGAUCUUCAUUUGGGGAAUAGACAAAUUAUUUUAUAUGAAUGUAAUGGAAUACUGUUGAGAAAGAAUGAAAGGGGUGGUGGCAGAGAAAGCUGGGAGAACUUGUAUGAACUGAUGUAGAACAAAGUAAACGUAUAACCAGAACAAUUUACAUAGUAACUUUAUGAAGGUAAACAACUUUGAAAGACUUAACUAAUCAAUGCAAUGACCAAUCACAUCUCCAGAGGACUAAAUAUGCUACCCACCUCUCACAGAGAAAUGAUAGAUUCAAGAUGCAGAAUGAGAGAUAUUUGGGGUCUUGGAUAAUUUA